AAGCUGCUGAGUGUGUGGCAACCUGGUUAGAGCAAUGGAAAACCGAGGCCCCUGCCAUCCUGCUGAGCUCGGUGAGGUUGUAUUUGAAGAAGCAAGCAAGCCGUAACCUCCUGGCUGUCCACCGCAGCCCACUCCUCACCACAGUUCUUCAUUGAUGAAGCAGCCCUCAGCCAUGGCCUGGGGGCACUGGGCCCCUGGGUCCUCCAGACCACUGACAUCUCUUUAAAUGACUCAGCUCGGCCCUGGUUCUCGUCUCACCAGUGGCAUUGUCUGUAAGAGAAAUCAGAGGGUCUGUGGGGAAAGUCAUAACCUGUACUGGGGCAUCAGGGUUUGGUGGCUGGGCCACCAGAAUGUGCAAGGGCAGGUGUGGGGAGGGGGCAGCAUGAUGGGGGCAGACCCAUGGGGCUUCCCACAAGUGCACAACCCCCUCUGGCAAGUCCUGUAACCCCGUCCUUUCCUCUGGGGCGGCCUGGAUGGGAAUAUUAGAAAGGCUCGUGGGUUCGAGUUUGCCUGUGGGGUUUACACAUUAACAAUCACAGACCAAGGGCUUGAGCUCUAGGCUCAGCAUCCUCAGACACACUAGGAAUAAAACCCACCUCCCACCCAGGCUGAAGCGAUGCUGCACCUGGGGCUCCAGAGCAGCGGAGUCCGUGGUGAGACCAGACCCCAUCAGAGGGCUGCUCUGCAAAGAGCCCCAUGAGGAGGCCUGGUGUCUGAGCAUGGGAGGCUUCACACAGCAGGGAGGGGACAUCUAUAUAAAGCAAAGAACUGCCCCCCAGGGAGGCCCAGGCAUGAGCACAACAAAGCUCCAAGCCCUGCCUAUGGGGCCUGUUCCACCCUUAACUGGCAACAAUGGGGAGGUGGGCAGCUGAUGCGAGCACUGUGGAGACCGAGUCACCGGGCUCUGGACUCAGGACAGGCAGCAGCAUAGCCGGGGUGCACUCACGGCCCCAGGAUGGGAAACGUGCUGCUUCAAGCACUCGGCCCGCAUCGGCAAGUGCUUUCUGUAGAGGGCAUAAUGGUCAGUCGUUCAGGCUUUUGGGGCCACACUGCCUCUGUCACAGCUACUCAGCUCAGCCACUGCUACACAAAAGAUUGUCAAUGAAUGAGUGACUGUGGUCCCGGAUAAAUGCUGGAUGUGGCCCUUGGGCUGUAGUGCACCAACCGUCCCCUGAGGUCACGUUUACCCUGCGUUAGAAAUAGCCCUGGCCGGGGUCCCUCUCUGCGCAGGCUGGGCCAGGACCGUCCGAGAGGGGCAGGAAUUGUGGGGCAUCUCUCCCACUCCCCGAGGGUAAGCAGGCAUGGCCACAUAUAGGUGACAGCAGCCUUCUGGUCAGCUCGAGUCAGGUGUGUCACAUCCCUGGGUGGAGUCUGGCCUGGACCCCAAGCCUACAGCCAUUGCAGCCCGGCAGCCACUGGAGAGAGAAGACUGACACAGCUCUGGGAGCCGUGUUGUGGGGUGGGGGCUGGGUGCCAGGGCCCAGGAGGGUGUCCAGGUGAGCUGCAGGAAGCCUCGGAGGCCUGGCCCCUGAUCCUGGACUUGCUCCUGCCAACUGGCCAUGGCUGUCUCUGCCCUCCCAGGGCAAUAGUGAGGUCAGACAGGAGAAAAGACAUGCAGACACUCAGCCCCUGUGUCAGGGAAUGGUGGGCGACACAGCCUCUCCACAGAGGACCGAGGCUGAGGGGGUGGGAAGGAGGUGCAGGGAGGUGAGGGUUCUGGGAAGGGAGCCCGGAGUGGUGGAGCCUCUUCCCCAGACUUCAGCAGGAACGGUAUCUUCCCACAGGUGUGGUGAGAACUGCUUGAGCUGUGCAGGCUCCAGCAGGAACUGUAGCAGGUGUAAGACGGGCUUCACACAGCUGGGGACCUCCUGCAUCACCAACCACACGUGCAGCAACGCUGACGAGACAUUCUGCGAGAUGGUGAAGUCCAACCGGCUGUGCGAACGGAAGCUCUUCAUUCAGUUCUGCUGCCGCACGUGCCUCCUGGCCGGGUAAGGGUGUCUAGCUGCCCACAGAGGGCAGGCACUCCCAUCCAUCCAUCCGUCCGUCCACUUUCCUCCAGACUGUCGGCCAGAGUCUGUUUCAGGAGCGGCGCCCUGCACCUGACAGCUUUAUCUCGCCAGGAGCAGCAUCUCUGGGCACCCAAGCCAGGUGGGUGGUGGCUCUUAAGGAGGUGUUCCUACAAUGGUGACAUCCUCUCAAAUGCUGCUUGUUGGCUCCAGUCUUCUGACAAACUGUAACAGGAACAAAAUGAAUUCUGGGAAUCCACAGCUCUGGCUUUGGAGCAGCUUCUGGGACCAUAAGUUUACUGAAUCUUCAAGACCAAAGCAGAAAAGAAAGGCGCUUGGCAUCACACAUCACUCUUCUCCCCGUGCUUUUCUGCGGCUGUGUAGUAAAUCUCCCCGGCCCAGCUGGCAAACCCUGGGCCAUCCUCACAUGUGACAAAGGGCCAGCAGUCUACCUGCUCGUUGCCUGCCACUGAGCAGUCUGGGCACGGUUUGGUCAGACUAUAAAUAAGAUAGGUUUGAGGGCAUAAAAUGUAUGACCACUGGGGCCGGAGUAUCUAUUUCUACAUAGUCAGCUACUUCUGAAACUGCAGCAGUGGCUUAGAAAGUCCAAUUCCAAAGCCAGACCAGAAGAUUCUAUCCCCGCAGCAUUCUCCUUUGAGCAAGCCGAGCUCUCCUUGUUACCGUGUUCUGUCUGUGUCUUCAGGAGUCUCAUGGCCUGAACGACCACCUCGACCUGAUGCAGAGCCUUCUGAGGAGGGGCAACAGGAGGCAUUCUGUGGCCAGCCAAAAGGUACCCCGAUGGCCAAGCAAUUCCUCUGAACAAAAUGUAAAGCCAGCCAUGCAUUGUUAAUCAUCCAUCACUUCCCAUUUUAUGGAAUUGCUUUUAAAAUACAUUUGGCCUCUGCCCUUCAGAAGACUCGUUUUUAAGGUGAAAGCUCCUGUGUCUGUGUAUAUUACGAGCCUACAUGACACAGUUGGAUUUAUUCUGCCAAACCUGUGUAGGCAUUUUAUAAGCUACAUGUUCUAAUUUUUACCGAUGUUAAUUAUUUUGACAAAUAUUUCAUAUAUUUUCAUUGAAAUGCACAGAUCUGCUUGAUCAAUUCCCUUGAAUAGGGAAGUAACAUUUGCCUUAAAUUUUUUCGACCUCAUCUUUCUCCAUAUUGUCCCGCUCCCCUGUUUGACGACAGUGCAUUUGCCUUGUCACCUGUGAGCUGGAGAGAACCCAGAUGUUGUUUAUUGAAUCUACAACUCUGAAAGAGAAAUCAAUGAAGCAAGUACAAUGUUAACCCUAAAUUAAUAAAAGAGUUAACAUCCCAUG
rnacentral:sRNA from 1 species